rnacentral:lncRNA from 1 species
UAUUAUCAAGAAGCAUGAUCCAAUUCAUAUUAACAAAUCAAAUAUUUAUAAUAUUUCUCAUGCAUAUGGAAAAUUAUCCACUCACCUGACUCAAAAGCAAACAACACACACAAGCUGAAACCAAAGGAAAUUCUACUGACGUCCUGCCGGUAGAAUAUCAGGAUUAUCUGAAUACAAAUGAGACAUAUUCAAAAACGACUCGAAAGAACAUUUAAUCUAUUUAAUACACUUAACUAAGGGUGUAUUCUGUAACCCUAUAUUGUUUUUUGAACUAACUAGUCAAUUUUCUCAAAAACCCAAAAUCUAACGGUUUUUCCGAAAUCUAAUCCAUAAUAAAAACAACUAAUAAAAUUGGUAAUAAUUUACUAAAUAACCCUUAAUUAUUCAUCAAAAUAAUCUGCAAAAGCUAAUAUUACAGCUAGGGACUAAUCUGGAAUUUUUCCAUAUUUUUAGGGCCAAAGUGUAACUUUUGUCAAAUGGAGGACCAAACUGAAAUUUGUCAUAAAUCCAUGAAUAUACUGAAAUUCUGACCUUAAUUAAUCCUCAAUUCUGUCCAGGAUGUAUCAUUAUGCUUCAGGGAUCAUUCUGGAAUUUUACUAAAUUCAGGGACUAAACUGUAAUUUUCGGAAAUUGAGGGACCAAAUUGAAUUUUCGUCAUCUUCAACCUAAAACCCAGAAUUUCAACAGAUCACCUACUGUUAUCCCCUGAUUUCUAACACAAAUUCACAAUUUAAACAAAAUCAUAACUCAAAAUCAUCACAAUCUUCCAUAAUCAACUAAAUCAUCAAUUAAACACAACAAUCAACCCUUAACCUUCAAUUUAAUUCAUCAAUUAAACCCAAAACACAAAUUCUCAAAACCCUAACAUUCAUCAAAACUGAAAUUAAAGUUUAAUUAACAUAUUAUACACAUUAAACAACUUAAAUCUUACCUUUUUCACUUAUUUCCUCCAAAUCUCUUCCUUUUUCCCUUAUUUUCCCUUCUUUUCUCUUCUUCUUCUUUCUCCCUUCUCUCUC